rnacentral:rRNA from 1 species
UACGUAGGGUGCGAGCGUUGUCCGGAAUUACUGGGCGUAAAGAGCUCGUAGGUGGUUUGUCGCGUUGUCCGUGAAAACUCACAGCUCAACUGUGGGCGUGCGGGCGAUACGGGCAGACUGGAGUACUGCAGGGGAGACUGGAAUUCCUGGUGUAGCGGUGGAAUGCGCAGAUAUCAGGAGGAACACCCGUGGCGAAGGCGGCUCUCUGGGACGGUACUGACGCUGAGACGCGAAAGCGUGGGGAGCGAACAGG